UGCUGGCUUCAGCAGCACAUAAACUGAAAUGGAACACUUCAGAGAUUAACAUGGCCCCCGUACAAGGAUGAUUUGUAAAUUUGUGAAACAUUUCAAAAACUU